rnacentral:rRNA from 1 species
CCCCGGAUGUAUUCGGGGCUGAAAGUACUAAAAGAAUAAGCAUCGGCUAACUCCGUGCCAGCAGCCGCGGUAAUACGGAGGAUGCAAGCGUUAUCCGGAUUCAUUGGGUUUAAAGGGUUCGCAGGCGGCAUAUUAAGUCAGUGGUGAAAUGCCUCCGCUCAACGGAGGAACUGCCAUUGAUACUGGUAUGCUAGAGUAUAGUUGGCGUAGGCGGAAUAUUUCAUGUAGCGGUGAAAUGCUUAGAUAUGAAAUAGAACACCGAUCGCGAAGGCAGCUUACGAAGCUAUAACUGACGCUCAUGAACGAAAGCGUGGGGAUCAAACAGGAUUAGAUACCCUGGUAGUCCACGCUGUAAACGAUGAUUACUCGUUGUCGGCGAUAUACAGUCGGUGGCUAAGCGAAAGUGAUAAGUAAUCCACCUGGGGAGUACGAUCGCAAGGUUGAAACUCAAAGGAAUUGACGGGGGCCCGCACAAGCGGAGGAGCAUGUGGUUUAAUUCGAUGAUACGCGAGGAGCCUUACCUGGGCUUAAAUGUAGAUUGCAUGAUGGGGAAACCUGUCUUUUCUUCGGAACUAUUUACAAGGUGCUGCAUGGUUGUCGUCAGCUCGUGCCGUGAGGUGUCGGGUUAAGUCCCAUAACGAGCGCAACCCCUACCUUUAGUUGCCAUCAGGUUAAGCUGGGGACUCUAAAGGAACUGCCUACGCAAGUAGUGAGGAAGGUGGGGAUGACGUCAAAUCAGCACGGCCCUUUACGUCCAGGGCU